UCUCCGUAGGUGAACCUGCGGAGGGAUCAUUACAAGUGACCCCGGUCUAACCACCGGGAUGUUCAUAACCCUUUGUUGUCCGACUCUGUUGCCUCCGGGGCGACCCUGCCUUCGGGCGGGGCCCCCGGUGGACCUAUCAACUCUGCAUCUUUGCGUCUGAGUAAAUAUUGAAUCAAUCAAAACUUUCAACAACGGAUCUCUUGGUUCUGGCAUCGAUGAAGAACGCAGC
rnacentral:misc_RNA from 1 species